UACGUAGGUGGCGAGCGUUGUCCGGAAUCAUUGGGCGUAAAGGGUGCGUAGGCGGUCCGUUAAGUCUAGUUUGAAGGACCACGGCUUAACCGUGGGAGGGGAUUAGAAACUGCCAUUCUUGAGUGUCGGAGAGGGUGGCGGAAUUCCCGGUGUAGCAGUGAAAUGCGUAGAGAUCGGGAGGAACACCCGUGGCGAAGGCGGCCACCUGGGCCAACACUGACACUGAGGCACGAAAGCGUGGGGAGCAAACAGG
rnacentral:rRNA from 1 species